AAUGGUAACACAUUAAGCAUUUUAACAACACAAUACAAUUAUUCACACGUAUUCAAGGCUAUCAAUAUCACAUAGGACCCCACACGGUCACACAUAUCACAUAAUAACUCAAUUUCGACAAUUACACAACAUAUAGGCUUCCACACGGGCACAACACAUAAAUUGUCAUUUUCAUGAUUAGUUUCCACCCUUAACAUGCAUUUUGUAUCAUCAUUUACUACCCAGCCCAGUCUGAAAGAAUAAAGCCAUAACCUACCUCUAAAGCCGAAGCCGAAAUCGGUCUGCUACACUUGAACCUACGACCUUACUUUUCACGAUCAAUCCCGAACUCUACUAAAAACAUCAAAUAUGAAAUCUACGAGUCAAAACAAAACCAACGACAUCCAUAUUGACUACUUUUGAUUCGGGAUCAAAACGGAUCCCCAAAAUGAAUUUCCGAAAAAGAAGGGCAAAAUCAAAACUUUACUUCAAAAACAUGUUUCCCAUAUUUUUAGGAACCUACAGCUGAAAACCCAAGUUAAAUCAAGUAAAAAACGGGGUUCAAAUCGAAGAAAAACUAUUUUUGAGCUUUGCCGAGUAAAAUCUUUGAAAUUCGGGUUUAAAUCAAGAAUCGGAGUUGUUUUGAAGGUUAAAUUGAUGAAAAACUAGUAAUUAUGAGAUAAAAAUAUUAUUCAAGUGAAAAGAGUGAAAUUUUGGUUUUAAAUCAUGCCCUAAGAUUUUUGGGGUUUUGAGGAAUUUAUCAAGAAAUUAUUCCCACCGUUUCAAAAAGAAUGACCUACUUUCCUUUUUAGUUCGUUUAAAAAAGAAUGACCCCUUUCCUUUUUUGGCAAUACUUUAAUUUCAACUUUCCACAUGGAAUGUUUAGAACCACAAGAUUAAAGAGCAUUUUGAUACAUUUGACACAACUUUAAUUUAAGUCCACAAGAUUCAAAAGUCUUCUUUAUUUUCUUAAACUUUGUGCCAAGUCAAAGUAGGUCAUUCUUUUUUAAACGGAGGGAGUACUAAGAAAGGGAGUGAAUUCUUACCUUAAAUCCGUAAUAAAAUCAAGAAAUAGAUGUUAAUCUAUCUUCCCAAGCUUCACUUUUAAGCUCCCAAACUAUUUAGGGUUUAACUUUCAAGAGGCAAGAUGAAAAAUGAGCAAAAUGACCCAAAAACUAUUUAUAAGUGCAGAAAAUCUGCACUAAAAUGAACCAAAAAGCUGAAGUUUUAUUUUGGUAAAGUCCACUCCGAACUUCGACAGGGUGCUCGGAAUUCGUUCGGAGUCUGAUACAUGCAAACAAACUAUGUAACCACACUAAAUUCGACGUUCUAAGCGCAAUGACGAUAUCAGAUUUUCAAAAAAAUAUCUUUUUCACAAAGUUGACCCCCGAAACCCGAAAUUAUAAUUUUCCAAACUGAGGGUCGAAAUGAGAUUUAAAAGCCAUAAAAUCAUACCAAACAUGCUAACACCCUAAAAUUGACAUUCUGGAUCUGCUGGCGAAGUUGGAUUUUCCAUCCGAGGUCGUUUCGAUCAAAUAUGGGUCUCACACCCAUAUUUUCAAUUUUCAAUUUUCCAACUUUCCAACCAAUAGAUCGAAAUGAGCUCGGGUCCACCGGGACCCAAACCAAAGGUCUUUCUAGCCUAAAAUCAAUAUUCCGGAGCUGCUAGCGCAGUCCGUUUGGCCAUCCAUCGCACGGAUCAAAAGAUAUCCACAUAAAUCCAAAGAAAGGCUCUCGAAGCCAUCAAAAACCACAAUAUUGCAUAAAUAAUACCAAAAUGAAUCGAAAAUCAUGUCAAUCACUCCCACCCCCAAAAAUAUCAUAAUGCAACUACGGAAAGGGGUAAAACAGUCAAAUCACACAAAUUUCACCUAUUUCAUCAAAUUUUUAGAUCGUUACAUCAUCCACCACUAAAAAUCUAAUUCGUCUUCGAACUAAGGCAAAGAAAUACCUGAAUCAAUGAAAAGCUGGGGAUAGGAACUACGCAUAUCAGACUUAACCUCCCAAGUAGCUUCAUCUACAGGUCGAUGUCGCCACAGGACCUUAACCACAGGAAUCACUCUAGAGCGCAACCACCUAACAUCCCUAGCCAAAAUGGAAACCGGUUCCUCAACAAAGGACAACAGCUCAUCUAACCGAACCGAAUCCCAAUGAAUGACAUGAGACUAAGCCUGGCAACGGAACCGAAAAAUUCCGUUCCAUUCCGCCAACUCCGAUUUCAGCAUGGUUCCGUUACUGGUAACGCCACGGUACCAGUUAGUUCUGGUAUACCGGUACCCAAUGGUCCGGAUAACGUUACCGGUGCGAACCUUCGAAAAAAUCCAAUAGUUUCGGUUCCGGUUGACCAGUUCCGGUACCGGUUAACCGGUUUCGAUCCGUCAAACACUUAAAUAUCUGCCUUUUUAAAAAAAAAAAAUGGGGAGGUAUCUGGCACGGCACUGGCAACGGCUCUUUUGGCCGUUGCUUUGUAGCCAUUUAAACAGCCCCCCUCCCAAUUACCCCACACCACCUCUUAAAAUUUUCACUAUAAAUAUGCUUCAUUUCAAUUCUUUUUUCACACAAAUAUUAUCAAUUCUCAUACUCUCUCUUGAUAUUCUCAUUCUCUCUAAAUAUUUAUAAUUAUUAUAUUAGUUGGAGUUGAAGAUUAUGCCAACCUUUCCUGUUACAUGUUCCAAUACGAUCUUGGUGUAUUAUUCGAGAUUCUGAGCCGGGGGUCUAUCGGAAACAGCCUCUCUACUUCUUCGGAGGUGGUGGCAUGGACUGCGUACAUCUUACCCUCCCCAGACCUCACUUUGUGGGAAUACACUGGGCCUGUUGUUGUUGUUGUAGUUGGAGUUGAAGAUUCAAUUAUUAUAUUAGUUAGAGUUGAAGAUUUGUUGAAGAUAUUACAAGCUACAAUUAUCAUCUUUUAAUUCCGACAUUUGGUAUACAUCUGCUUUUACGCAGACAUUCGGUAUAUUUGUUUCAACUUUAAUCUCUUUUUAUUUACGUUAAUAUCUAUAUUUUUAUUUUUUAGUAUCUACAUUUUUUUACUUACAUUAACUUUUUAAUUUAUAAUAUUUGUAUUGCUUGUUUUAAUAUUUUAAUUUAAAUUAUGGAUUUCGGAAAAAAUAGUAGUGGUAAAAAAAGAAUCUUUGGUAAGGUUUUUCAUAGAAAUUAAAAAAGUAAGGCUAGUACUACUACUAGUUCAUUACCGCCUAGAUUUAAUGAAACUACUUUAUCACAACCUAAUGGUUUCGAUAUUGGUAUCGGUAUGGAAUUAGAUAAUGAGACCCUAAAUAGGCGUUAUAACAAUUUUGAGGAAGACUUACCCGAGGAAGAUGAUAUAGAAGAACAAGAGUUAGGUGAUACCCCUACCCCUACUAGUCCGGUUACGAAAUUACCGGAACACGGUGAAGAACUUCCCCCUUUACCGGAAUUUACUAGGGCCACAGGUACCGAACGUACUAAAAGGUCUUUACUUUGGAAAUUUAUGAAGCAUGAUGGGGUAAAAAGUACUGCUACCUGCAAUAAAUGCAAGCAAGUUUUUAAACAUUUGACCGAGGGAAAAAAUGGCGGGACAGGGUUGCUAACUUCGCAUUUGACGAGAUGUAAUAAAGAAUUUGUUCGUCUAAAAAAUGAGGCUAAGGCAAAAAAAGAUGGUACACAAUUUAUGCAUGAAUCUGUAGGAGGUAAUAUGGUUCAAACACGUUUAGAUAUGUUUAACCCGGCUGAAGCAAGUUCAUCAUCGACAUAUAGUGAAGAUGUAGAUAGAGAAGAACUAGCGAAAAUGGUUGUUGUUAUGGGUUUGUUUUUUAGUUUUCCUUCCCAUCCCGGUUUUAUUCAUUAUAUUCAACGAGUAUAUAAUCUCUCUUUUAAAGGUUUUUCACGAAAUACUAUUAAAAAUGAUAUUUUUAAAUUUCAAGCUGAACAUUGUCAUUUUCUUCGUUGCUUAUUUGAUAAAUUUGAUGGUAGAAUAUUUGUUAUUUCUGAUAUGGGUCGUAGUGUUAUCGGUAAUGAUUAUUUUACUCUCACGGCUCAUUGGAUUGAUCACGAUUGAAACAUGCAAAAAAGAAUUAUUGCUUAUAAAUAUGUUGAUAGGUCUAAAACCGGCAUGUAUAUAGCUAGUACAAUAGCGGAGAGCAUGAAAUAUUUUAGAUUUAUUGGUAAACCUCUGACAUGCACAUUAGAUAAUGCUUCUAAUAAUUUGAAAGCUAUUGAAGAGUUAAAAACUAGAUUAAGUCCUAUGGAUGAAGAUCAUUUUCAUGUUAGAUGUGCUGCGCAUAUUUUAAAUUUGAUAGUACAUGAAGGUGUUCAUUUGUUUGGAAAUGGUUGUCUUAAAGUUCGAAUUGUUUGUAGUUAUAUUUUUAAAAACAAAAGAAAGACUGUAAUGGAUGAUUUUAAAUAUAAAUGUAAUCAAUGUGAACUUCCAUAUAGAAAAGUUCCAAAAGAAAUUCCUACUCGAUGGAAUUCUUUGUUUCAAAUGCUUGAAGUUGCUUUUAUAUUUUGUAAACCCAUACAAUUAGUUUAUAAUGCUUAUAAUGAGGAUGUUAAUUUAAUGUUAGAUGAAGAUGAUUGGACUGAAAUACAAGAACUUUGUAAAUUUUUGAAAACUUUUCAUCAAGCUACGGAAAUAGUAUCUGCUCAAUAUACUUCAACUAUUUCUUCUGUUUUAGUAACUAUUACUGCUAUUUCUAAAGUACUUGCUGAAUAUAAAAAAUUAUGCCCUUACAAAGAGGCAAUUGAAUCUAUGUUUGAAAAAUUUUAAAAAUAUUAUUUUCCUAUUCCACAAAUUUUUGACAACUAAUUUAUUCAACCCAUUUUAUAAAGAACAUAGUACAGUGAUGUUGGUUAGAAAAUUAUACAACAAUUUAGAAAUUAGACCUCUUGAAAAGCCAUCAUUUGAAACUUGUUAUGCUAGCAUAGUACUACCGCUAAGAGUUUAUAUAACUUGUAUCAAGUUAUGGAACAAAAUAUUGGGCCAAUCGAACCUACUACUUCUAGACGUAGAUAUGAUGAUUUAGAUGACGAGAUGGGCGAAGAACUUAGUCUUCAAUGUUGUAGGAGUAAUAAUUUUGAUUCGUAUCUUUCGCAAAAUCGAGAAAGUAUUAGAGAUGAAAAUGGAAAACAACAACUUUUAUCAUGGUGGAAGACCCAUAUUAGGCAAUUUCCAAAACUGUCAAGGAUGGUUCGAGAUUUGCUAUCAACUCAAGCUUCUUCAGUUGCUUCGGAGCAAGCUUUCAACGCAGGAAGAUUUAUAAUAGGAGAUCAUCGAUAUUCGUUAGCAAGGGAUAGUUUGGAGAUUUCGGUAUUAUUUAGAGAUUGGAUCAAUGCAGAACGAAGAAAUUUUGGGCUCCCCAAAUUACCGCACCAUAUUGAAGACGAAAUAGAUGAAAUUUUUUAGGAAAAUAGUGAUGACAGAAUGGAAGCAAUGGAAGAACAAGAAAAAAGGCCAAUUCCGGAAGAUUUAUCCGCCGAAGAAAUAGAAAAGUUACGCCAAAAAUAUUAUAGACAAUUUAUAUAUUAAUAAGAUUUUUCAAUAGAGAUCUAAUUCAAACAGAACUUUUCCUAGCAGGUGGCUGCGUAGAUUAGAUUUUCAUUUAAUAUCUUUGUAAUAAAUGUACAACGUAUGAAAUUUGAAUAAAUAUAAUGGCUAUUCGCCUAAUUUUAUUUUAAAUUUGUCUUUUGUUUGUUGCAAUUAUGGAAAAAAAAUUAAAACAAAACUUUAUAAAGUUAGGAAAAAUUUUAACUUCUUAAACUUAUUAAAAAUAUUAUAUUAACUUAAACUUAACAUAUAUUUUUUUUAGUUAAAAUUUCAAAUAUUUUAAGAUAUAUUAAAACUUUAACUUAUUAAAAAAGAGUUAAUAAAUUAUAUAAGUUAAUAUAUAUAUAAAACUUAUAUAUUAAUGUCAUUAAGUUAAACUUAUAUAUUAAUGUCAUUAAGUAAUAUAUAUAAUUUAAAUUAAAAUUUAAAAUUUAAAAUUUAAAACAAACUCUGUAGCAGUACGUUAUGUUUCGGUAAUGUUCCGGUGUCGCUCCGGUUCGAUCCGACUCCACACCGGUAGCCAGCAGACUGGUCCUAACAAGGGGAAAAUUCCGAUAUUCCGAUUUCGGUAACACCGAUUCCGGCGAAGUAAAACGGUAAGGAAGCUCCGGUACCGAUUUCGGUCCGUUGCCAGUCAGGAAUAUAGCGACGAAGCAUAGAAACAUGAAAAACUGGAUGAACAACUGAUAGAUCAGGGGAAAAAGCCAACUCAUAAGUCACAUCACCAACAGUCUGAAGAAUCUCAAAUGGACCAAUAUACCUGGGGCUAAGCUUGCCCCUCUUCCCAAACCUCAUCACACCCUUCAUGGGUGAAACUCGAAGGAAAACACGAUCACCAACACCAAAUCUCAAGGCACGAAGUCUACAAUCAGCAUAACACUACUGCCUACUCUGAGCCGCUCUAAGUCUAUCCUAAAUAAUCCGGACCCUAUCCAAAGACUCACGAAGCAAGUCCGUACCUCGAGGUCUCACCUCUGAAACAUCAAGCCAACCUACUGGAGAGCGAUAACGCCUACCAUACAACGCCUCAAAAGGAGCCAUAUCAAUAUUGGAAUGGUAGCUAUUAUUAUAUGCAAACUCUGCUAAAGCCAAAUGCUGCUCCCACAGGCCACCAAAAUCUAUCACGCAUACGCGAAGCAUAUCCUCCAAAACUUGUAAAUUCCGCUUUGACUAGCCAUCAGUCUGAGGGUGAAACACUGUACUAAGAUCCACUCGAGUACCCAACUCAUCCUGAAAAGUUGUCAAAAAGUGAGAUGUGAACACAGGACGUCGAUCAGAAAUAAUGGACACCGGCACACCAUGCAGACACACAAUCUCACGAAUGUAGAUAUGGGUCAACCUCUCAGCACUAAAUGAGACCUGAACCGGAAUAAAAUGAGCUGACUUGGUCAAUCGAUCCACGAUGACCCAAACACUGUCAGAACCAUGAGAUGUACAAGGCAAACCAGUCACAAAGUCCAUAGUGAUGCGUUCCCACUUCCACUCAGAAAUGGGUAACCUCUGAAGCAAACCACCAGGUCUCAUAUGCUCGGCCUUCACCUGCUGACAACAUAGGCAACGAGCCACAAAAUCUGCUAUAUCUCACCUCAUACCACCCCACCAAUAGUGUUGUCUCAAAUCACGAUACAUCUUAGUCACACCUGGAUGGAUGGAAUAUCUGAAACAAUGGGCCUCCUCAAAGAUCAACCUAAUCCAGUCACCCACUUUCAGCACACAAACUCGGCCUUCAAUCCGCAAAACUCCAUCUGAAUCAAGUCAGGCUUCCUUAGCCUCUCCACCCAAUACCUUGUCUUGAAUCGACCUCAACCCAACAUCAUCAAACUGAUGAGCUCGGAUCUACUCCAUCAAAGAAGAUCUAGCAUCCACAAAUGCCAAAACACGCCCCGGUGUCGAAAUAUCAAGUCUAACCUUCUGGUUAGCUAAAGACUGAACCUCUAAGGCCAAAGGCCUCUCCUGGGUCAAAAGAUGCGCCAAGCUACCCAUGCUAGCCGACUUUCGGCUCAAGGCAUCCGCAACAACAUUAGCCUUGCCCGGAUGGUAGAGAAUAGUCAAGUCCUAAUCCUUAAGCAACUCAAGCCAACGGCGCUGCCUCAUAUUAAGAUCUCGCUGAGUAAAGAAGUACUGAAGGCUACGAUAAUCAGAAAAGAUCUCACAACGGACUCCAUACAAGUAAUGCCUCCACAACUUCAAGGCAAACACAACUGCAAACAACUCCAAAUCAUGGGUAGGAUAAUUCCUCUCAUGAGGCUUCAAUUGACGAGAUGCAUAACAAUUACCUUGCCCUCCUGCAUUAACACAACACCUAACCCAACACCUGAAGUAUCACAAAAGAUAGUAAAGCCCACGCCCUCCUUAGGCAAAGCUAAUAUAAGAGCUGAAGUCAACAAAUCCUUGAGCUUCAGGAAGCUCGCCUCACAAGCAUCGGACCACUGAAAAGAAAUCUUCUUCUGGGUCAACUUGGUCAAUGGAGCUGCAAUGGAUGAAAACCCCUCAACGAAACGUCGAUAAUACCCGGCCAAGCCAACAAAACUCUAAAUCUCAGUGGGCGAAGUAGGUCUAGCCCAGUCACGAACCGCUGCAACCUUGGCUGGAUCAACCAUAAUACCUUCCUUAGUCACCACAUGACCUAAGAAAGAAACAGACUCUAAUCAAAACUCGCACUUAGAGAACUUAGCAUACAACUCCUCAUCCCUCAAUCUCUGAAGCACAAUUCGCAAAUGCUCCUCAUGCUCAACCUCACUCUUGGUAUAAACCAAGAUAUCAUCUAUAAAUACAAUAACAAAGGAGUCAAGAUACGAUCGAAACACUCGGUUCAUCAACUCCAUGAACGCGACAAGGGCAUUGGUCAACCCGAAGGACAUGACCAAGAACUCAUAAUGACCAUAUCGAGUCCAAAAAACAGUUUCGGAGUAUCCGAACCUCUAAUCCUCAACUGGUGAUAACCAAACCUCAAAUCAAUCUUCGAAAACACCACAGCACCCUGGAGCUGAUCAAAUAAAUCAUCAAUGCGAGGAAGAGGAUACUUAUUCUUAACCGUCAUCUUAUUCAACUGCCGAUAAUCAAUAUACAUCCGCAUAGACCCAUCUUUUUUCUUCACAAACAAGACAGGUGCACCCCAAGGCCCUUAUCCAACAACUCCUACAACUGAUCCUUCAAUUCCUUCAACUCUGUUGGGGCCAUCCUGUAAGGAGGGAUAGAAAUGGGCUUGGUGCCCGGCUCAACAUCAAUGGCAAAAUCAAUAUCUCGUUCUGGAGGCAUACCAGGCAAGUCCGUAGGGAACACGUCCAUAAACUCACGGACAAUACGAAUAGAAUCCAAAGAAGGAGGCGAAACAACACUGGUGUCACGAAUAUGGGCCAAGUAAGAUAAACAUCCCCUCUCAAGCUAAUUUACGAGCCUAAACAUAAGAUAUAAUCCUCUUAGGACCCGAAUGAAGUGCACCCUUCUAAGGUAUCCUUGGCACACCUGGCAAAGCUAAAGUCACGGUCUUGGCAAAACAAUCUAAGACAGAAUGAUAAGGAGACAACCAAUCCAUACCUAAAAUAACAUCAAAAUCGAUCAUAUCUAACACAAGCAAGUUUAUCAAAGUCUUACGCUGGCAAAAGUCAUAACACAAGAUCGAUGAGCCUGAUCCACCAUUAAAGAAUCACCUACCGGGGUGGAUACACAAAUAGGCAUGGCAAGAGGCUCACUAACAGAAUCAAAACCCGAAGCAAAAUAUACUGACACAUAGGAGAAAGUCGACCCAGGAUCAAAUAAUACAGAUACAAGUCUGAAACAAACGGGGACAAUACCUGUAAUCACAGCAUCAGAAGCCUCUGCCUCAGGUCUGGCUGGUAUAGCAUAACACUAACCACGACCACUAGCUGCAUGGAUAGCCCCACAACCACCAACUGCCUGAGUGGCCCCAUGGCCACCCCCAUGAGCUCUACUACCUCUACCCCUCGCAACUCUGGUAGCACCCCUACCUCUCGCAGAUGAAAUAGGAGUAGCUCGAAUCACCCGGCGGGGACAGUCCCUGGCCACAUGGUCAAUCUCAUCACAUACAUAACAACCUCUACGACUAGUCUCAAUAGGAGAAGGUACAACUGGUCCCGAACGGCUACCCUGAACUGCUGGACUAGAAGGUACACCACCUGAACUCUGUAAUGCCACCUGCACUGGCCUACCAUGGUAUCCACGAGAACCUCUAAAAUUUCUGCCUCGAGAGGUCCGACUACUGAACUCACCAAAAUGUCGCGCCUUCUUGGCGCCUCCAUGAGAUGCACUAAGAAUACCCUCUAUCAUCUUAACGUGAUCCACAAUACUCUGAAAAGAAGCCCCAAACACAACCAUUAGAGAUGUAGCCAACUGAAGAGAGACAUCCAAACUCUUCACGAACUUUCGAAUCUUCUCAGACUCGGUAGAAAUGCUAUCAUAGGAAUAUCUGGAUAGGGCAUAGAAGUGUGCCUUAUACUCAGCAACUGUCAUGGAGCCUUGCUCCAAAUGAUCAAACCCAUCCCGCAUCCGAUCUCUCAAACUGAAAGGCACAAAUCUCUCUAGGAAAGCCUCAGUGAACUGAUCCCAAGUCAUCUAGGGAGAUUCACGGGGUCUACAACUGACAAGCGACCUCCACUAAUCUCUCGCUGCAUCUCUCAACUGAUAAAAGGUAUAAGCAAACUCCAUGAGACUCGAGUGAACCCAAAUUGUGCAACUUCUCUCGGCAAUCAAUCAAAAACUCAUAGGCAUCCCCGCCCACUGCGCCACCAAAUCUGGGAGGACCCAACCGAGUAAACCUCUCGAACCUUUUCUGAUCCUUAGAAGACAUCACUGCACUAGCCAUGAGAGGGGGGCAUAGUAAAUCUGGCAGACCGUGAUCCCAUCUGGGGAGGUAACAUGGAUGACAACUGGGCUCCUGAUCUCGGAACCCCAUGUCAGAUGUCGGCACUGAAGGUGGAAUAGGACUUGGGGUCUAAGGAGUACCCAAACCAGAAGCAGGUACGACAGGAGGAUCCACACUCUGAAUUGGAGGAACACCCGUCAUAACCAAAGGAGAACCCUCUAGACGAGUAGACAGAUGCACCAACAUCCCUCCAACACUGGGGCAGACGAACUCUGAAGAACUGGAGUAGGUCCCACCCCUCCAACCUGGUCAACACGAGGCUCAGGAGAGAGUCCCCUAGCACUCCUCCUAGACGGGGCUGCACCACGGGGCCAUCCCCUCCCUCGAGUCCGUCCACAACUCGAGGCUCGCCCUCUGGGUGAAGGCUCUGCAUCACUACUCUCGCGAGACCUAGUCAGCACCAUAUGCGCAGAAAGAGUGAAACAUAACUCAGAACACAAGAUAUGGAAGAACUUCGAACGGUAAGGAAUAAAAAUAAGGAAAGUUUCCUAAAGACAUCCUAUAGCCUCUCGAAGAUAGAUACGAACGUCUACGUACCGAUCUGCAAGACUCAAUUAGACAUCUCGUUCUUACACCGUUGAGACCAAUGAAACCUGGCUGCUUUGAUACCAAUUUUUCACGACCCAAAAACGAGGAUAAUGAUGGCACUUGUCGCGGCAUACCUUGACAAGUAACCCUAUCACCCAAACUGAUAAGAAAAGAGGAAAAGAUAAAAAAAUAUCCCAAGGUAAGGCUUCUAGAACGAAGCCGAACCAUAUAAGUAAUCAUAACAAUGCGGAAAAAACUUAUCCAAAAUACCAAUCAUGCCCAAAACCAGGUGUUAAUAGUGUAAGAACUACUAAUACAAUCCAAGAGUCAAAUACAUCGGAAAAAUAACCACAAAAGGAAAAUAUUUGUCUCUGAAUACUAAUAAAGACAUAACUACUUUAGAAAGAUAGAGGUGAACUUCGGACGCAUGAAUAUCCAACCGCUACCUUGGAAGCUCUAGCAAUUGCCCGAGUCAAGAAAUUUGAGGCGCACUCGAGCUAGGACCUGCACCGAAAGGGCGUAGUAGGCAUGAGUACGGUCCACUUGUACUCAUUAGGCAUCAUAGGCCGACCAAGCAAAGUAGUAAAUAAAGCAUACAAAAUAUACACUAAGGGCACGUCACCUGCAAUUAGAAAAUGUCCUACAACGGUAGCCCACACCGCUUGCACUAAUAGUUCUAAUAUAUAUAUAUCACUUAUAUUACAACGACACACCAAGAUAUAGAACACAAGUAUACAUUAUGUCACAUAUAAAUAGAACAAUAGAGAACAUGUAGAUACAAAAUCAUCAAAUACAACUAAAGGAAGAUAAGACAAAUACAUAAAUGACACGUCAAUAAGGCAAUACAACACAACAUAAAUAUAAUAAAGUAAUUGCAAUGUAUGUGAUGAUGAUGAUGAUGCAUGAAGUCGUCACACAACCUCAGGGAUCCUCGCAAAAUCCCCGUAUACACCUACGGAGCUAAAGCUUCCCGACGUAGGGCCCAUGGGGGGUUCGUCAACCCAUAGACAAUCCACAUAUCUUAUAUCUCCGUUCCGGCACAUCCCUCGAAAAGGGUUUUAUAAGGUGUUACCAUAUCUUUUAAAAANNNNNNNNNNNNNNNNNNNNNNNNNNNNNNNNNNNNNNNNNNNNNNNNNNNNNNNNNNNNNNNNNNNNNNNNNNNNNNNNNNNNNNNNNNNNNNNNNNNNNNNNNNNNNNNNNNNNNNNNNNNNNNNNNNNNNNNNNNNNNNNNNNNNNNNNNNNNNNNNNNNNNNNNNNNNNAACACAAUACAAUUAUUCACAUGUAUUCAAGGCUAUCAAUAUCACAUAGGACCCCACACGGUCACACAUAUCACAUAAUAACUCAAUUUCGAUAAUUACACCACAUAUAGGCCCCCACACGGGCACAACACAUAAAUUCUCAUUUUCAUAAUUAGUUUCCACCCUUAACAUGCAUUUUGUAUCAUCAUUUACUACCCAGCCCAGUCUGAAAGAGUUAAGUCAUAACCUACCUCGAAAGCCGAAACCGGUCCGCUACAUUUGACCCCGCGACCUUACUUUUCACGAACAAUCCCGAACUCUACUAAAAACAUCAAAUAUGGAAUCUCCGCGUCAAAACAAAACCAACGACACUCAUAUCGACAACUUUUGAUUUGGGGUCAAAACGGACCCCCAAAAUAAGUUUCCGAAAAAGAAGGCAAAAUUGAAACUUUACUUCAAAAAUAUGUUUCCCAUAUUUUUAGGAACCUACAACUGAAAACCCAAGUUAAAUCGAGUCAAAAACGUGGUUCAAAUCGAAGAAAAAUCAUUUUUGAGCUUUACCGAGUAAAAUCUUUGAAAUUCGGGUUAAAAUCAAGAAUUGGAGUUGUUUUGAAGGUUAAAUUGAUGAAAAACUAGUAAUUAUGAGAUAAAAAUAUCAUUCAAGUGAAAAGAGUGAAAUUUUGUUUAAAAUCAUGCCCUAAUAUUUUUGGGAUUUUGAGGAAAUUAUUAAGAAAAAAGGGUGAAUUCUUACCUUAAAUCUGUAAUAAAAUCAAGAAAUUGAUGUUAAUCUAUCUUCCCAAACUCCCACAAGCUUCACUUUUAAGCUCCCAGAUUGUUUAGGGUUUAACUCUCAAGAGGCAAGAUGAAAAAUGAGCAAAAUGACCCAAAAACUAUUUAUAAGUGCAGAAAAUCUGCACUAAAAUGAACCAAAAAGCUGCAGUUUUUUUUUUUGGUUAAAGUUCACUCCGGACUUCGACAUGGUGCCCGGAAUUCGUUCGGAGUCCGAUACAUGCAAACGAACUAUGCAACCACACUAAAUUCGACGUUCUGGACGCGAUGGCGAUAUCAGAUUUUCAAAAAAAUAUCUUUUUCACAAAGUUGACCCCCGAAAUCCGAAAUUACAAUUUUCCAAACCGAGGGUUGAAAUGAGAUUUAAAAGCCGUAAAAUCAUACCAAACAUGCUAACACCCUAAAAUUGACAUUCUGGAUCUGUUGGCGAAGUUGGAUUUCCAUCCGAGGUCGUUUUGAUCAAAUGUGGGUCUCACAUCCAUAUUUUCAAUUUUUCAACUUUCCAACCAAUAGGUCGAAAUGAGCUCGGGUGCACCGGGACCCGAACCAAAGGUCUACCUAGCCUAAAAUCGAUAUUCCGGAGCUACUGGUGCAGUCCGUUUGGCCAUCCGUCACACGGAUCAAAAGAUAUCCACAUAAAUCCAAAAUAAGGCUCUCGAAGCCAUCAAAAACCACAACAACAUACCCAGUAUAUUGCAUAAAUGAUAUCAAAAACCACAAUAUUGCAUAAAUGAUAUCAAAAUGCAUCAAAAAUCAUGUCAAUCACUCCCACACCCCAAAAAUAUCAUAAUGCAACUACACAAAGGGGUAAAACAGUCAAAUCACACAAAAUCAAAAAUUUCACCUAUUUCAUCAAAUUUUUAGGUCGUUACAAACUUAGUCCUUCUUUUUUUUUUAAAUCAAGCUACUUAGUCUUGCUACAUCCUCCCACUUAACAAGCCUCACUGUGCUAAUGUUCUUUCAUUCAGGUUAUUCAUUGUGCUCUCAUUUCAUAAUUAUUACUUUGACCUCCAUGAUUAACAAUCCCAAUUCUCUCCCUCUCAUCUGUCCUAUUCCUCUUCCUCGACUCUGAUUUCCUUUAUUAGUGUUGUGAAAGACAGGCUUGAGGGACUCUAAAACCCCAAGGUUAGAUGCAACACAAGAUUGUCACUUAGCUUCAUUUAGGCGGCACUCUUUAGCACAUGCAUCACAUUGCUGAAGCACGUGCCUUGUCACACAUAUGAGUUCUAUCUAGAAAAGCAACAACAAACAAUGGAUAUACUUAGCACAAUAAUGUACAUUAAUUGUUAAUUAAGCAAAUUGAAUGAGAUGCCAGUAACCGGAAGGAGGAACAUAUGGAUUUAUUAUGUGGAAACUAAUCUGGGAACCUAUAACUGUGUAUAAAUCAGAAACUUAAAGUAAUUUUUUUAAUUGAUUGACGUCUUAAUUGUCGUUUCUUUCGUCAAUUCUGUGUCUAUAUAAUUUUUAAUUGUGUUUCUAGUUAGGAUGACGAGGAGAAGAGGGUAAGCAGGGAGAAGUACA
rnacentral:lncRNA from 1 species